rnacentral:lncRNA from 1 species
UCUUUUGAUUAUAAAUUUGACGAUGAAAAGAAAAAAAUUCUAGUAGAAAAUAGAAAAAAAUACAUAACAGAGUUACCAAAAUAUAUAAUAAAAUUAUAAUAACUAAAUAACAUAUUAUUUAUUAAUUUUAGAUAUAAGGGUAUUAUAGGCAGUUUGAGAUGUGUAUUAAGUUUAAUAUCGAAAUGAAAAAUUAUAUGAGGGGUGUAUUAAGCAAGAGGUGUGUAUUAAGAGAUUAGGGGUGUGUAUUUAAAAUUUCUAGAGAGAAAUAUCUGCGAACUAUGAAAAAAUGUACGCACGCAAAACACAAAUCUUCUCCCUCAUCCAUCUUCCUCCUCUUUACUUCUGCUAACUACUCACCUUCUCCAGCAAAAAACUAUUCUCGCGACUCUGUCUCUCUGCUAAUAGCCUACAUCUCAGGUAAUUUGAUGGCUUCAGAAGCCUUGGUUCUUAUAUAUUUACGAUAAAUUGAUACGACCUAUUGUACUGGAAACACAGGAGCCUUCGACCUGUUGUAAUCAAAGCACAAGACCCUUCAAGUUUUGUUGAGUUAAUUUGUCGUUAAUGAAGCAUAAAAGUGAAGUCUUGAUGAGUUUGUCAUUGAUUAAUCAUUAAAGUGAAGUCGAACGCGCAUAGGAGAAUUUUUUCAGUGCUCCGGGAGAACUAUAUUAGCGUGCCUAAUGGUCCUCCAUCACUAAUAAAACGUCGACACGUGUUACUUUUGUGACACGUCAUAAUGAGGUUAAAUAUUACUGCAUCGUAAAAAAAAACUGUAAGCUCCGUGGGUAACUACCGUUAUCUUUCAAUCCCGAGCCCUAACCAUUAAAAAAAAUAAAAAUCUCCGAGACAGAGAGGGUGGAAGAACCAAAUUCAGCUAAUUAAAUAUAG